CUCUCUCUCUCUCUCUCUCUCUUUCUUUUCUUCUCCUUUUUUACUGCUACAUCCUUCACAACAUACACCACAAAAAAAUAUCUAAACAUAAAAUAUCUACUCUCUCUCUCUACAUCAUCAAACCGCCCAACCUUUCUUUCUUUCUUUCAUGAACAUCUACAACCUCACUCAUUUUCUUACUAACACAUAUUCUCUCUGUUAAAACUACAACAACAACUUCAUUUAAACCAACUAAAAAAAAACCAUAACCAUCUUCAUCACCAUCAUCACUACUUUAACUAUAUAAAACUCUUCACUCUCCACAAACACACAUUUUUUCUUCAAACACCACAACUUCUUACAACUACCAUCAUCAACCUCACCUAACUCAUUUCAUCUCACUACACCAUAACAACAACAACAUCUACAACCACAACAUCAAACUUACCACAACAACCUUAAACUCAUCAUCAUAUUUCUAUAAGUUGGAAGCUUUUUUUGUUUCAUUUCAAGAGAGAAAGAGAGAGGUUAACGAACGAAAGAGGACAGAUCGGGAGAGUGGGGGCGCCACCGCACCGCCACCGGUCGGUCGACCACCCUUGUGGUGUUUUCCAUCGAUAUUUGAUCGGAAGGGAUGGAGAGGUUUUUACCUCUGUUACUGUUAUUUUUUCAUGAAAGGAGAUGCCACUAUUUUGUUUUUUCUAAAUAUUUUUUCACAUCCUCCUGCCACAUGUCAACGCAUGUGUGGGGGGUCAAAGUUGUUUUUUUCUUUUCCAAAUAAAUCUCCAAACUAGUAACUUCCACUGCUAGUAAGUUUGUGUUCUCUUCUUUUAUUUAUUUAUUUAUUAUUAUUAUUAUUAUUAUUA